rnacentral:rRNA from 1 species
CCUACGGGCGGCAGCAGUGAGGAAUAUUGGUCAAUGGACGAGAGUCUGAACCAGCCAAGUCGCGUGAAGGAUGACGGCCCUAUGGGUUGUAAACUUCUUUUGUAAAGGAGUAAAACGAGGCACGUGUGCGGUUUGGAGUGUACUUUGUGAAUAAGAAUCGACUAACUCCGUGCCAGCAGCCGCGGUAAUACGGAGGAUGCGAGCGUUAUCCGGAUUUAUUGGGUUUAAAGGGUGCGUAGGCGGACGGCUAAGUCAGCGGUAAAAUUGCGGGGCUCAACCUCGUCGCGCCGUUGAAACUGGGUGCCUUGAGUGGGCGAGAAGUACGCGGAAUGCGUGGUGUAGCGGUGAAAUGCAUAGAUAUCACGCAGAACUCCGAUUGCGAAGGCAGCGUACCGGCGCCCAACUGACGCUGAAGCACGAAGGCGUGGGUAUCGAACAGGAUUAGAUACCCCUGUAGUC